rnacentral:rRNA from 1 species
UGGAUCCAGCUUUGAUCCUGGCUCAGGAUGAACGCUGGCGGCGUGCCUAACACAUGCAAGUCGAACGGAGAUAAGAUGAAACCUAGUGAUUCUUAUCUUAGUGGCGGACGGGUGAGUAACACGUGGGUAACCUGCCUUGCACUGGGGGAUAACACUUAGAAAUAGGUGCUAAAACCGCAUAAGCGCACAGUUUCGCAUGAGACAGUGUGAAAAACUCCGGUGGUGUAAGAUGGACCCGCGUCUGAUUAGCUAGUUGGUGAGGUAAUGGCCCACCAAGGCGACGAUCAGUAGCCGGCCUGAGAGGGUGACCGGCCACAUUGGGACAGAGACACGGCCCAAACUCCUACGGGAGGCAGCAAUGGGGAAUAUUGCACAAUGGGGGAAACCCUGAUGCAGCAACGCCGCGUGAGUGAAGAAGUCAUUCGUGAUGUAAAGCUCUAUCAGCAGGGAAGAAAAUGACGGUACCUGAGUAAGAAGCCCCGGCUAACUACGUGCCAGCAGCCGCGGUAAUACGUAGGGGGCAAGCGUUAUCCGGAUUUACUGGGUGUAAAGGGAGCGUAGACGGCCAUGCAAGUCUGAAGUGAAAUGCCAGUGCUCAACACUGGAACUGCUUUGGAAACUGUAAGGCUAGAGUGCGGGAGAGGUAAGUGGAAUUCCUAGUGUAGCGGUGAAAUGCGUAGAUAUUAGGAGGAACACCAGUGGCGAAGGCGGCUUACUGGACCGUAACUGACGUUGAGGCUCGAAAGCGUGGGGAGCAAACAGGAUUAGAUACCCUGGUAGUCCACGCGGUAAACGAUGAUUACUAGGUGUUGGGGGGUAAUAACCCUUCGGUGCCGUCGCAAACGCAAUAAGUAAUCCACCUGGGGAGUACGUUCGCAAGAAUGCAACUCAAAGGAAUUGACGGA